rnacentral:rRNA from 1 species
CUUGACAUCCAGAGAACUUGGCAGAGAUGCCUUGGUGCCUUCGGGAACUCUGAGACAGGUGCUGCAUGGCUGUCGUCAGCUCGUGUUGUGAAAUGUUGGGUUAAGUCCGCAACGAGCGCAACCCCUAUCCUUUGUUGCCAGCGAUUCGGUCGGGAACUCAAAGGAGACUGCCGGUGAUAAACCGGAGGAAGGUGGGGAUGACGUCAAGUCAUCAUGGCCCUUACGAGUAGGGCUACACACGUGCUACAAUGGCGUAUACAAAGAGAAGCGACCUCGCGAGAGCAAGCGGACCUCAUAAAGUGCGUCGUAGUCCGGAUUGGAGUCUGCAACUCGACUCCAUGAAGUCGGAAUCGCUAGUAAUCGUAGAUCAGAAUGCUACGGUGAAUACGUUCCCGGGCCUUGUACACACCGCCCGUCACACCAUGGGAGUGGGUUGCAAAAGAAGUAGAUAGCUUAACCUUCGGGAGGGCGUUUACCACUUUGUGAUUCAUGACUGGGGUGAAGUCGUAACAAGGUAAGCGUACGUGU